AGUAGUCAGAUCCAUGUCUCUUGUCUGUUCCCACUUUUUGGAGUAGUUGUUUCAUUUUUUGGAUGUUACCUUUUUAGGACUCCACUCGUUUGCAGUUGCUCCUCCCUGUGUGUAUUUGGACUGCCACAAACACUUACAUCCACUGUCCGACAGUGAUUCCUUGGCUGUUGUUCUUCAACACUAAAGCUUCAGCGAUUCACACAGUGGCCCCAGGCCUGCCCUGCUGAAACGUCUGUCCCUGUUGGUGACUAGAAUCAUUUCCCUACUUGAAAAACUCACCAAAAAGCGAGUGUUGCCAAGGUUGUUGUUGAUCAUGGUUCAGCUCUUGGGUUUGAAGAACCUUGAAUUGGAGGGAGUCUUGAGGACGUGCAUCAAAAAGUUUAAUGCUGUACAUUGGUCCAAUUGCACUGCUAAUUGAUUUAUGUAGAUGUCAUAUAGUGUAGGACUGAAUUUACUUGCCGAACGCCUCCUUUUGAUCAUGUCCUUGACCUCAUGUCCAUCGUACCAAAUUGAAUCAAAUGCCUUUUUAAAGUCAACAAAACAGGCAACUAUUUUACUGUGUUUUGUUUGAUGUACAUGUUUUUCAAUGAGGGUGUGCGGGGUAAAAAUGUGGUCGGUAGCGCAACGCUUUGGAAGGAAGCCUGUGUCGUUUUUACUCAAGAUACUGUGUUUAUUUAUGAAAUUUAAAAUAUCUGUUUAAAAUGCUACAGAAUAAAUUAAAACAGUGUUAAUAAUUUGAGCACUGCCAUCUGCUGUUCAGAAGUGCUGUUUUUAAUUGUUUCAUUUGAAAUGCUGUCAGUGGCACAUGUUUGUUUUUUUGUUUAGAGAUUAAUUCUUGAUAUUGGAAAAUCAAGUGGGUUUUGGUUGUCUUUAAUGCUUUCCAAUUUGGUGAGUCUUUGAUCAGUUUGUGAUUUGAAUUUGUUGCUUUUGGUAGUAUGUCUUUAUAAAGAUCUUCAAAAUGUUUUCUCCACAUUCUGAAGUUUUGAAUGGGG